GAUGAGCGCUGGCGGCGCGCCUAACACAUGCAAGUCGAACGAUUAAAGCACCUUCGGGUGUGUAUAAAGUGGCGAACGGCUGAGUAACACGUGGGCAACCUGCCCCUUUCAUUGGGAUAGCCACGGGAAACCGUGGAUAAUACCGAAUACUUCGAGACUUCCGCAUGGAAGACUCGAGCAAGCUCCGGCGGAGAGGGAUGGGCCCGCGGCCUGUUAGCUUGUUGGUGGGGUAACGGCCUACCAAGGCAAUGAUGGGUAGCUGGGUUGAGAGACCGACCAGCCAGAUUGGGACUGAGACACGGCCCAGACUCCUACGGGAGGCAGCAGUGGGGAAUCUUGCACAAUGGGCGAAAGCCUGAUGCAGCGACGCCGCGUGCGGGAUGAAGGCCUUCGGGUUGUAAACCGCUUUCAGCAGGGACGAGGCGAAAGUGACGGUACCUGCAGAAGAAGCCCCGGCUAACUACGUG
rnacentral:rRNA from 1 species